rnacentral:rRNA from 1 species
GCGGCGGACGGGUGAGUAACAAGUGGGCAACCUGCCCUGCAGACUGGGAUAACUUCGGGAAACCGGAGCUAAUACCGGAUAACACCGAAAACCGCAUGGUUUUCGGUUGAAAGGCGGCUUUUACCUGUCACUGCAGGAUGGGCCCGCGGCGCAUUAGCUAGUUGGUGAGGUAACGGCUCACCAAGGCAACAAUGCGUACCCAACCUGAGAGGGUGACCGGCCACACUGGGACUGAGACACGGCCCAGACUCCUACGGGAGGCAGCAGUAGGGAAUCUUCCGCAAUGGACGAAAGUCUGACGGAGCAACGCCGCGUGAGCGAAGAAGGUCUUCGGAUCGUAAAGCUCUGUUGUCAGGGAAGAACAAGUGCCGUUCGAACAGGGCGGUACCUUGACGGUACCUGACGAGGAAGCCACGGCUAACUACGUGCCAGCAGCCGCGGUAAUAC